rnacentral:rRNA from 1 species
GUUAUAUGGUCAAGUGAAGAAGCGCAUACGGUGGAUGCCUUGGCAGUCAGAGGCGAUGAAAGACGUGGUAGCCUGCGAAAAGCUUCGGGGAGUCGGCAAACAGACUUUGAUCCGGAGAUCUCUGAAUGGGGGAACCCACCUAGGAUAACCUAGGUAUCUUGUACUGAAUCCAUAGGUGCAAGAGGCGAACCAGGGGAACUGAAACAUCUAAGUACCCUGAGGAAAAGAAAUCAACCGAGAUUCCCUUAGUAGUGGCGAGCGAACGGGGAUUAGCCCUUAAGCUUCAUUGAUUUUAGCGGAACGCUCUGGAAAGUGCGGCCAUAGUGGGUGAUAGCCCCGUACGCGAAAGGAUCUUUGAAGUGAAAUCGAGUAGGACGGAGCACGAGAAACUUUGUCUGAACAUGGGGGGACCAUCCUCCAAGGCUAAAUACUACUGACUGACCGAUAGUGAACCAGUACCGUGAGGGAAAGGCGAAAAGAACCCCGGAGAGGGGAGUGAAAUAGAACCUGAAACCGUAUGCGUACAAGCAGUGGGAGCCUACUUGUUAGGUGACUGCGUACCUUUUGUAUAAUGGGUCAGCGACUUAUAUUCAGUGGCAAGCUUAACCGUAUAGGGUAGGCGUAGCGAAAGCGAGUCUUAAUAGGGCGUUUAGUCGCUGGGUAUAGACCCGAAACCGGGCGAUCUAUCCAUGAGCAGGUUGAAGGUUAGGUAACACUGACUGGAGGACCGAACCCACUCCCGUUGAAAAGGUAGGGGAUGACUUGUGGAUCGGAGUGAAAGGCUAAUCAAGCUCGGAGAUAGCUGGUUCUCCUCGAAAGCUAUUUAGGUAGCGCCUCAUGUAUCACUCUGGGGGGUAGAGCACUGUUUCGGCUAGGGGGUCAUCCCGACUUACCAAACCGAUGCAAACUCCGAAUACCCAGAAGUGCCGAGCAUGGGAGACACACGGCGGGUGCUAACGUCCGUCGUGAAAAGGGAAACAACCCAGACCGCCAGCUAAGGUCCCAAAGUUGUGGUUAAGUGGUAAACGAUGUGGGAAGGCUUAGACAGCUAGGAGGUUGGCUUAGAAGCAGCCAUCCUUUAAAGAAAGCGUAAUAGCUCACUAGUCGAGUCGGCCUGCGCGGAAGAUGUAACGGGGCUCAAACCACACACCGAAGCUGCGGGUGUCACGCAAGUGACGCGGUAGAGGAGCGUUCUGUAAGCCUGUGAAGGUGAGUUGAGAAGCUUGCUGGAGGUAUCAGAAGUGCGAAUGCUGACAUGAGUAACGACAAUGGGUGUGAAAAACACCCACGCCGAAAGACCAAGGGUUCCUGCGCAACGUUAAUCGACGCAGGGUUAGUCGGUUCCUAAGGCGAGGCUGAAAAGCGUAGUCGAUGGGAAACAGGUUAAUAUUCCUGUACUUCUGGUUACUGCGAUGGAGGGACGGAGAAGGCUAGGCCAGCUUGGCGUUGGUUGUCCAAGUUUAAGGUGGUAGGCUGAAAUCUUAGGUAAAUCCGGGGUUUCAAGGCCGAGAGCUGAUGACGAGUCGUCUUUUAGAUGACGAAGUGGUUGAUGCCAUGCUUCCAAGAAAAGCUUCUAAGCUUCAGGUAA